UCCGAGGGGAAGAGGUCCGUGGAGGGGCCGUCCAGCCUGCAGAGCUGUCCCAUGUGCCAGGCUGACUUCACCCGCGGGCUGGCCCCACUGGACAUCGACGGCCACCUGGCCCGGUGCCUGGCGGAGAACGCGGGAGACGGGUGGUAGCGGCACCCCAGCUGCUAGGCCUCCGCUCCGCGUGCUGAAGUCCUGCUGCAAAAGCGUGUCGGUGCGGGAGCCACGUCUUUUCUCUGGGUCCAGAGCGAAACAGCGGGUCCUUUUUUCUCUUUGGCUGAUGCUGCGCAGGGCGCUGGCUGAGGUGGACAGGCCACUCGGCAGACGACCAGCCCCAGGCAGGCGGCAGGGAUCCUGUCCCGAGCAGUGUGGGUAUCUGUGCCGGAGCUGGCGCAAGGGCACACGUCCUGCUGGCUGCAUGGGCUCAGCUCACAUCUCAUGACCGUGUUCUGAUCCCCUGGGUGAAUCUGUUCCUUUUGCAGCCGCAGGUGCCUGUCAGUGCCUGCAGCAGCUUCCCCGUGAGUUGGGACCUUAAGGGUGGGACCUGGCCAGCCGGUGACACCUCCUGCUUGGCCGUGUUUUGUGCAGACUCUGUGCGGCUGGGAAAUGGGGCCAGAGCGGGUGGAGGUGGUUUUCCUUCGCGGGCUGUCAGCCCACGGGUUCUGGAAGUGCCUUGUCUCCACCUCCGCCACGUGGCCGCGGCCCUGGCAGCAGGACGGGCAGGAAGGGAAGGCCAGGCUUCUUCCAGAAGCUGUAUUUUCCUUUCAAAGACACCUUCUGAGGGGCCGCGAGAAGACAUGGGGGAAGCGGAAGGGCAGUUACUCAGCCAGAGACGUGGCCUAAAGAGGCUGCCUGCUGUGUGAGUCCCAGUGCAGGACGUUCUAGAAAAGGCAAAACUGCGGAGAUGCUACCAAGCUCAGUCGCUGCCAGGGCUUAGGGAGGAGUGGGCGGUCUGCAGGCAGAGCGCAGGGUUUGGGGGCAGUGAAAAUACCCUGGGUUACAGGGGUGUUUCCACGACACGCGUGUCAAACAUGGGUCCAAACCACAGACCCUGUGACCCAGAUGUCAGUGCCCCUUCUGCGGGCUGGGGACGAGGACAGGGGCCCCGAGGACUCUGUACCCUCCCCUCACUUUUGCUGUGAACCUAAAACUGCUCUAAAGAAUAAAAUCUUUCUUAAAAAACA
rnacentral:lncRNA from 1 species